UGUUAUGGCGGCUGUACGCUGGGCGCCUUCGGGCGCGCCGGGGAGCCUGAAGUCCGGUCUACCAACCUGCGUACGGUCGCCACCCAA
rnacentral:antisense_RNA from 1 species